GUCUGAUGAUUGCCUGCUACGCUGAAGUGCUGCCUGUCUGUAUAUUUGUACAUUUUGUACAAUACACCUGUCUUGCUAAAGAAGAAGAACGUGUCAGUGUCUUCAAUUAACUCUGCAUAUUUUCCUGUCACUAAACCAGACAGAGGUUAUGGGCCCAGCAUGCUCCCGCUGCGCAAGCCAUUUGAAGUCAAGAUGGUUGGUGAGUACCAUGGGUGAAGUCUUUAAAUGAAGGAAGAGAGAGAAAGUGACAUAGAAGACUUGGGAGAAGACAGUUCGUCUGUUAGCCCAGGAGGGCAAAGAAAACAGAGAACUGGAAGAGAAGGCAGAAUGGCGUUGAGUGCAGGAGGCAUAGGAGGAUUAGCAAUUAACAGAAACACAGAAAACACAGGGAUAAGCCACAGAAAAACAAGUCCAUAUUCUCCAUUUCAAAACGGUGUGGCUGAAAGGAGAAAUGGAGUACUUCAGGAAAUGAAGGAUGCACUGUUAGCAGAUGCAGAAAUGCAUCAUGGAUUUUGGGCGGAGUCACUGAAAACGGCUAAUUAUUUGGUGAACAGACUUUGGUCGUCUGCCAUAGACCAGACUCCUUAUUACAUGCUCUUUGGAAAGGAACCUUCAUUAAAGCACCUGAGGGUUUUUGGUUGUACUGCAUGGGUACAUGUACCAAAACAGUUAAGGAGAAAAGGCAGAGCUAAAACAAAGAAGAUGAGGUUCUUAGGUUAUGAGCCUGGAUCAAAAGCAUAUAGGUUUGUUGAUGGAAAUAGAAAUAUUGUGAUAUCCAGGUCUGCAAGUUUCAAUGAGAGUGAGAAUUGGGAUAAAGUGCACGCUAAUUCACAGAUAUUUAUCCCAUUAAAUGACACAAGGAGGAGUCAAAUUAGGCAGUCAGAAAUACAUGAAGAAGACACGAAGUCCUCAGUUGAAGAAGAUGAAGAAGAACAUGAAGAUGAUGAAGAAAAACACGUUAGUAAGUCAGAGAAAGAGCCAGAAACACAGGGUCCUAGGAGGUCUGAAAGGGCAAACAAGGGUGUACCACCCAAGAGAUAUGGAUGGGUGGAGUAAGAGUUUGUCAUGUAUAUUUAGAACCNNNNNNNNNNNNNNNNNNNNNNNNNNN
rnacentral:lncRNA from 1 species